AUCCUGUUCCGAUUAUUGGGAUACUGUUAGUUUGAGAAAAUUAGAGUUUUUGAAGCAGGCUAAUUGCCUUGAAUACUGCAUCAUGGAAUAACAAUAUAGGAUUUCGGUUCUAUUUUGUUGGUUUCUAUGACUGAAAUAAUGAUUAAUAGGGACAGUUGGGGGCAUUCGUAUUUAACUGUCAGAGGUGAAAUUCUU
rnacentral:rRNA from 1 species